rnacentral:rRNA from 1 species
UGAGUAACCUGCCCUUAACUCUGGGAUAAGCCUGGGAAACUGGGUCUAAUACCGGAUAUGACUCCUCAUCGCAUGGUGGGGGGUGGAAAGCUUUUUUGUGGUUUUGGAUGGACUCGCAGCCUAUCAGCUUGUUGGUGAGGUAAUGGCUCACCAAGGCGACGACGGGUAGCCGGCCUGAGAGGGUGACCGGCCACACUGGGACUGAGACACGGCCCAGACUCCUACGGGAGGCAG